UACGAAGGGGGCUAGCGUUGCUCGGAAUUACUGGGCGUAAAGCGCACGUAGGCGGCUUUCUAAGUCGGGGGUGAAAUCCUGGAGCUCAACUCCAGAACUGCCUUCGAUACUGGAGAGCUUGAGUCCGGGAGAGGUGAGUGGAAUUCCCAGUGUAGAGGUGAAAUUCGUAGAUAUUGGGAAGAACACCGAUGGCGAAGGCAGCCCCCUGGGUUAACACUGACGCUCAGGCACGAAAGCGUGGGGAGCAAACAGG
rnacentral:rRNA from 1 species